UCCUACGGGAGGCAGCAGCUAAGAAUAUUCCGCAAUGGGGGGAACCCUGACGGAGCAAUCUCUCAUGGAUGAUGAAUGUCUUCGGAUUGUAAAGUCCUUUCAGUAGGGAAGAAAGUGUAGAGUAGUAAAUGGCUUUGCAUUGACGGUACCUGCAGAAGAAGUCCCGGCUAACUACGUGCCAGCAGCCGCGGUAAUACGUAGGGGGCGAACGUUGUUCGGAAUCACUGGGCGUAAAGGGUAUGUAGGUUGUUAAGUAAGUAAAAAGUGAAAUCCCAAAGCUCAACUUUGGAAUUGCUUUUUAUACUGCUUAACUAGAGUCUCUUAUAGAGGUAGUAGGAAUUCCUAGUGGAGGAGUAAAAUCUGUAGAUAUUAGGAGGAACACCAAUGGCGAAGGCAAGCUACUGGGUAGAGACUGACAUUGAGAUACGAAAGCUAGGGGAGCAAAUGGGAUUAGAUACCCCAGUAGUCCUAGCCGUAAACGUUGUACACUAGUUUUCUGAUGCCUAUUAGGUAAUGGGAAAUAAAGCUAACGCAUUAAGUGUACCGCCUGGGUAGUAUGCACGCAAGUGUGAAACUCAAAUGAAUUGACGG
rnacentral:rRNA from 1 species